CAGCCGUAAACAAUGUGCGUUAGGUGUGUCGGUAACCACGCGUUACUGAUGCGCCGAAGAGAAAUCGUGAAACGCACCACCUGGGAAGUACGGUCGCAAGGCUGAAACUUAAAGGAAUUGGCGGGGAGCACCACAACAGGUGGAGCCUGCGGUUUAAUUGGAUUCAACGCCGGACAUCUCACCGGAUAAGACAGCUGAAUGAUUGUCAAUCUGAAGGUUUUACAUGACUAGCUGAGAGGAGGUGCAUGGCGUCAGUGACU
rnacentral:rRNA from 1 species